GAAGCCCACAGCCACAACAAAUGAGGAAGGGGGCUACUUGAAGAGUAUGAGCGUCUCCAGAAACAGAUUCCUAAACUAUUCUAACUGAUCAACUACUUUAAAUUGAUGCAGAAGGAAAGUGGAAGUGAGUGGAGAGAGGAAGAGGAAACACGAAGAAACCAAAGCUCUCAAAGUGGGGAGAAAAAGAGAUAGGACCUCUUCCCAGGCAGACACUCCACUUGCCUGAAUCCUCAAUCUCGUAGGAUCAGACCUCAGCGUGUAUCUGUUCCUACCCUGGCCCCACUACCAAAGCAGCAGCUCAAAGCUCCUGUUCUCCUGAUGGAAAGAUGAGACGACCCAGGUAUGACCCAGGUACGAGUCGUCUGUGAACGAGAUCAAUAUCUGGAAAUAUUCACAGAGAGGAGAGUAGCAUGAAGAGAUCACGGCUUCCUCGUUCUCCAAUAAUUGCCCAGUCUUGGGAAAACUUGGCAAGUCUCUCCUGUGGGAAAAUACCAAAUGAGUAUUACAGUAGAGUCUCAUGUAGGGUGUAGUGGGGCAGAAGAGGACCAAUUCAUUUUUCUAAAGCAAGGAAGAUUCACUGUCUUUCUUGGGAGACACAGAA